rnacentral:rRNA from 1 species
UACGGAGGGUGCGAGCGUUGUCCGGAAUCACUGGGCGUAAAGGGCGCGUAGGCGGCCGUGCAAGCGUGGGGUGAAAGUCCGGGGCUCAACCCCGGAUCGGCCUCGCGAACUGCAGGGCUCGAGCACUGUAGAGGCGGGUGGAAUUCCGGGUGUAGCGGUGGAAUGCGUAGAGAUCCGGAAGAACACCGGUGGCGAAGGCGGCCCGCUGGGCAGUGGCUGACGCUGAGGCGCGACAGCGUGGGGAGCAAACAGG